rnacentral:lncRNA from 1 species
ACAUUAGGCCUCCAUCACCUGGACAGGCCUACACUGAUGUGUAUCUGUCAUAGGGUGCGGGUUAGCCCAUCUGUUCAGGUUUAAUUGUAGGCCUACAUGAAGUUAAUAGUCACCAAUGGAUAUUCUUCAAUUAGCCUAUAGUAGGCCUAAAUGCCUAUAUGUAUAUGUGAUACAUGUCUGACUGUAAUUUAUAUUUCUCCUGUCUAAUUUCUCCUGUCUACUUAGAUGGUUAAGGUAUUUUUCAAGGGCAUUGGAUAUGCCGAGAGGUAUCUUGAAGAGAUCAAGGCCUAUCUCCAAAGACGACUUUGUGUGACUCAGGUUGGAGAUGUACGGGAAUGUGAUGUCAUCUUGGUCCUCUGUCCAAUCGUCUCUCGAGCUGGAACUGAUGUUGAGGCUGCACUGAGUGCGAUUCCAAGCCCAAAGCCUACAAUUCUCAUGGUGUUUCAUCGCACAUUCGACCCGGAAGACAUAAUACCCAACACCCAGAAGUAUGUCGAAGGGAGGGGAAUAACGGUGGACCUGCUUUUCAAUGAGGAAGGAGGACUACUUUCUUGCAGAAGAAAUGAGGACUCGAAGAGAUUGGCUGCAGAUUACCUCAAUAAGCAUGAAGCACUUAGCCCUAUAUACAGUAAUAGGUUUUUAAAUGCCAUACUUUCGCAAAAAGGGCUUAUUGGGUGUAUUGCAUUUGCAGGUGUAGUCAUUGUUUGUUUUGCCAUUGUCAGGAAAAAAGAUAAAAUAAUGUUAGCUAACUCAGUCAAUCUUCCUAGGCUAUUUACAUGGACUACACUGAAAAUCAGGGUUGGAAAAUCUACUGAAAUCUGA